GAGCCGGAGGGAAACCGAGUCUUAAUUGGGCGUUAAGUUGCAGGGUAUAGACCCGAAACCCGGUGAUCUAGCCAUGGGCAGGUUGAAGGUUGGGUAACACUAACUGGAGGACCGAACCGACUAAUGUUGAAAAAUUAGCGGAUGACCUGUGGCUGGGGGUGAAAGGCCAAUCAAACCGGGAGAUAGCUGGUUCUCCCCGAAAGCUAUUUAGGUAGCGCCUCGUGAAUUCAUCUCCGGGGGUAGAGCACUGUUUCGGCUAGGGGGCCAUCCCGGCUUACCAACCCGAUGCAAACUGCGAAUACCGGAGAAUGUUAUCACGGGAGACACACGGCGGGUGCUAACGUCCGUCGUGAAGAGGGAAACAACCCAGACCGCCAGCUAAGGUCCCAAAGUCAUGGUUAAGUGGGAAACGAUGUGGGAAGGCCCAGACAGCCAGGAUGUUGGCUUAGAAGCAGCCAUCAUUUAAAGAAAGCGUAAUAGCUCACUGGUCGAGUCGGCCUGCGCGGAAGAUGUAACGGGGCUAAACCAUGCACCGAAGCUGCGGCAGCGACGCUGAUGCGUUGUUGGGUAGGGGAGCGUUCUGUAAGCCUGCGAAGGUGGCCUGUGAGGGUUGCUGGAGGUAUCAGAAGUGCGAAUGCUGACAUAAGUAACGAUAAAGCGGGUGAAAAGCCCGCUCGCCGGAAGACCAAGGGUUCCUGUCCAACGUUAAUCGGGGCAGGGUGAGUCGACCCCUAAGGCGAGGCCGAAAGGCGUAGUCGAUGGGAAACGGGUUAAUAUUCCCGUACUUGGUGUUACUGCGAAGGGGGGACGGAGAAGGCUAUGUUGGCCGGGCGACGGUUGUCCCGGUUUAAGCGUGUAGGUGUGUGUUCCAGGUAAAUCCGGUUCACUUUAACACUGAGGCGUGACGACGAGGCACUACGGUGCUGAAGCAACAAAUGCCCUGCUUCCAGGAAAAGCCUCUAAGCAUCAGGUAACAUCAAAUCGUACCCCAAACCGACACAGGUGGUCAGGUAGAGAAUACCAAGGCGCUUGAGAGAACUCGGGUGAAGGAACUAGGCAAAAUGGUGCCGUAACUUCGGGAGAAGGCACGCUGACACGUAGGUGAAGUGAUUUACUCAUGGAGCUGAAGUCAGUCGAAGAUACCAGCUGGCUGCAACUGUUUAUUAAAAACACAGCACUGUGCAAACACGAAAGUGGACGUAUACGGUGUGACGCCUGCCCGGUGCCGGAAGGUUAAUUGAUGGGGUCAGCGCAAGCGAAGCUCCUGAUCGAAGCCCCGGUAAACGGCGGCCGUAACUAUAACGGUCCUAAGGUAGCGAAAUUCCUUGUCGGGUAAGUUCCGACCUGCACGAAUGGCGUAAUGAUGGCCAGGCUGUCUCCACCCGAGACUCAGUGAAAUUGAACUCGCUGUGAAGAUGCAGUGUACCCGCGGCAAGACGGAAAGACCCCGUGAACCUUUACUAUAGCUUGACACUGAACAUUGAGCCUUGAUGUGUAGGAUAGGUGGGAGGCUUUGAAGUGUGGACGCCAGUCUGCAUGGAGCCGACCUUGAAAUACCACCCUUUAAUGUUUGAUGUUCUAACGUGGACCCGUGAUCCGGGUUGCGGACAGUGUCUGGUGGGUAGUUUGACUGGGGCGGUCUCCUCCUAAAGAGUAACGGAGGAGCACGAAGGUUGGCUAAUCCUGGUCGGACAUCAGGAGGUUAGUGCAAUGGCAUAAGCCAGCUUGACUGCGAGCGUGACGGCGCGAGCAGGUGCGAAAGCAGGUCAUAGUGAUCCGGUGGUUCUGAAUGGAAGGGCCAUCGCUCAACGGAUAAAAGGUACUCCGGGGAUAACAGGCUGAUACCGCCCAAGAGUUCAUAUCGACGGCGGUGUUUGGCACCUCGAUGUCGGCUCAUCACAUCCUGGGGCUGAAGUAGGUCCCAAGGGUAUGGCUGUUCGCCAUUUAAAGUGGUACGCGAGCUGGGUUUAGAACGUCGUGAGACAGUUCGGUCCCUAUCUGCCGUGGGCGCUGGAGAACUGAGGGGGGCUGCUCCUAGUACGAGAGGACCGGAGUGGACGCAUCACUGGUGUUCGGGUUGUCAUGCCAAUGGCACUGCCCGGUAGCUAAAUGCGGAAGAGAUAAGUGCUGAAAGCAUCUAAGCACGAAACUUGCCCCGA
rnacentral:rRNA from 1 species